CGCUAGCUACAGGCUUAACACAUGCAAGUCGAGGGGCAGCGGGAUUGAAGCUUGCUUCAAGUUCGCCGGCGGACCGGCGCGCGGGUAGAGUAACGCGUAUCCAACCUUCGUACACUCAGGGAUAGCCUUUUCGAAAGAAAGAUUAAUACCUGAUGGUAUCUUAAGCACACAUGUAAUUAAGAUUAAAGAUUUAUCGGUGUACGAUGGGGAUGCGUUCCAUUAGGUAGUAGGCGGGGUAACGGCCCACCUAGCCAACGAUGGAUAGGGGUUCUGAGAGGAAGGUCCCCCACAUUGGAACUGAGACACGGUCCAAACUCCUACGGGAGGCAGCAGUGAGGAAUAUUGGUCAAUGGACGAGAGUCUGAACCAGCCAAGUAGCGUGAAGGAUGAAGGUCCUACGGAUUGUAAACUUCUUUUAUAAGGGAAUAAACCCUCCCACGUGUGGGAGCUUGUAUGUACCUUAUGAAUAAGCAUCGGCUAACUCCGUG
rnacentral:rRNA from 1 species